CACGUAGGGCGCAAGCGUUGUCCGGAAUUAUUGGGCGUAAAGAGCUCGUAGGCGGUCUGUUGCGUCUGCUGUGAAAACUCGGGGCUUAACCCCGAGCCUGCAGUGGAUACGGGCAGACUAGAGGUAGGUAGGGGAGAAUGGAAUUCCCGGUGUAGCGGUGAAAUGCGCAGAUAUCGGGAGGAACACCGGUGGCGAAGGCGGUUCUCUGGGCCUUACCUGACGCUGAGACGCGAAAGCGUGGGGAGCGAACAGG
rnacentral:rRNA from 1 species